rnacentral:lncRNA from 1 species
UGUGAUUCAAUGCUGUUAAAUGUGCCAUGAACCUGAGCCACAGUAGCGAGACGGUCAUGAAUCAAAUCACGAUGAGGACAACAUGAUGUCUGGAAAACCUAGUUAUUUAACUUAAAGCCGUGGAAAUGUCUGUGCGCGGCAGGUUUGUUGUUGAACUGGACGUUUCCUUUUCAGACAAGCUCAGACGUAACGGUCUGUUCACGAGCAGGAUGAUAAUGUCCCAAGAACAUUUUGAAUUGAUCUUAUCGUCACCCAUUGGUCCCACUGAAUCCUGCAGACACCCUGAAGCUGCCGCUGUAACCAGAGACGAGACAACAAGCCAGGAUUCAUGUCACCGUGGUCAACACAGCAAAGAGGUCCCUGAUUCCCGGAGAGAAGACCGCGGAAUGUGAAGUGAUGAGCAAUAUUUCCUAACACUGACAUCAGUGACCAGCAGAGACUACUGAACAUCCUCCGAGCUGUUGAUUGGCUCCAGAGAUGCUGCAGUAAGGACGGAAGGAACCUGCUAAUUACUUCGCUAUAUCCAUUAAUUC